UACGUAGGGGGCAAGCGUUGUCCGGAAUCAUUGGGCGUAAAGAGCGUGUAGGCGGCCCGAUAAGUCCGCUGUGAAAGUCCAGGGCUCAACCCUGGAAUGCCGGUGGAUACUGUCGGGCUCGAAUCCGGAAGAGGUGAGUGGAAUUCCUGGUGUAGCGGUGAAAUGCGCAGAUAUCGAGAGGAACACCGGUGGCGAAGGCGGCCAACUGGACGAAUACUGACGCUGAGACACGAAAGCGUGGGGAGCAAACAGG
rnacentral:rRNA from 1 species